GAGAGAUAAUAGCAUUGCUCUCUUUAGAGUGGUGAUGGGAAUAGCUUGAGAGGAGCUCACAAGAGGAUGUGUCUACAACAGCAAAAAGAAAACUGCAGAGGUCAAUGGAUUCUUUUAAGUUCACACAAUACCUCUCUUCCGUACAGUUCCUACGAAUUUUCCUUCUGUGACAUGGAUCCUGGAUCCUCACAAUCCUGAUCAACCAUUCUCACAGUGCAUACCUACUAGGAUGGCCUCAUCAUGGAAUACAAACCUGAGAAAAUGGACAGCACUGUUGGGGGCUUGUGAGUUCCUGUCACAGCACUGAGCUUGAACAAUUUCGAUUAAAGCCCCAUGUUUGAGACUGUCAUUAGACCUGCAUUAAAUUACAUAUCUGG
rnacentral:lncRNA from 1 species